CUUCUGGUGAUGAGAUCCAUGUCCAGUUCUGCUACUGAAUUAGAGCGAUGACAGUUGGGAAUCUGAAGAGG
rnacentral:snoRNA from 1 species